rnacentral:rRNA from 1 species
GUGGUACCGUCAGCACUAUGUCGUUUCUUACAUAAUGGUUUCUUCCCACCUGACAGAGCUUUACGACCCAAGGCCUUCAUCACUCACGCGGCGUUGCUGCGUCAGGGUUUCCCCCAUUGCGCAAAAUUCCUCA